rnacentral:sRNA from 1 species
GCCAGGCAUGGUGGCACAAGCCUGUAAUCCCAGCAGCCCUGGAGGCUGAGGCAGGAGGAUCGUGAGUUCAAAAGCCAGCCUCAGCAACUUAGGCCCUAAGCAACUCAGUGAGACCCUGUCUCUA